rnacentral:rRNA from 1 species
ACGGAAGGCAGCAGUGGGGAAUAUUGCGCAAUGGGCGAAAGCCUGACGCAGCGACGCCGCGUGAGGGAUGAAGGCCUUCGGGUUGUAAACCUCUUUCAGCAGGGAAGAAGCGAAAGUGACGGUACCUGCAGAAGAAGCACCGGCUAACUACGUGCCAGCAGCCGCGGUAAUACGUAGGGUGCAAGCGUUGUCCGGAAUUAUUGGGCGUAAAGAGCUCGUAGGCGGUCUGUCGCGUCUGCUGUGAAAACUCGGGGCUUAACCCCGGGCCUGCAGUGGGUACGGGCAGACUAGAGUGCGGUAGGGGAGACUGGAAUUCCUGGUGUAGCGGUGAAAUGCGCAGAUAUCAGGAGGAACACCGGUGGCGAAGGCGGGUCUCUGGGCCGUAACUGACGCUGAGGAGCGAAAGCAUGGGGAGCGAACAGGAUUAGAUACCCUGGUA